rnacentral:rRNA from 1 species
UACAGAGGUCCCGAGCGUUGUUCGGAUUCACUGGGCGUAAAGGGUGCGCAGGUGGCUUGGCAAGUUUGAUGUGAAAGCUCAGGGCUUAACCCUGAAAUGGCAUUGAAUACUGUUGAGCUGGAGGUUUGGAGGGGGGACUGGAAUUCUUGGUGUAGCAGUGAAAUGCGUAGAUAUCAAGAGGAACACCAGUGGCGAAGGCGAGUCCCUGGACAACACCUGACACUGAGGCACGAAAGCUAGGGGAACAAACAGG